rnacentral:tRNA from 1 species
GCAUUGAUGGUUCAGUGGUAGAAUUCUUGCCUUCCAUGCAGGAGACCUGGGUUUGAUUCCUGGCCAAUGCA